UGCGGGUGUGGUGGAAUUGGUAGACACACCAGGUUUAGGUUCUGGAGGCAUCUUUGCCCUGCGGGUUCAAGUCCUGCCACCCGUAU
rnacentral:tRNA from 1 species